AAAGGAAGCUGUCAGCCGGGCGCGGUGGCGCGCGCCUGUGGUCCCAGCUACUCGGGAGGCUGAGGCUGGAGGAUCGCUUGAGCCCAGGAGCUCUGGGCUGGAGUGCGCUAUGCCGAUCGGGUGUCCGCACUCACUUCGGCAUCAGUAUGGUGACCUCCCGGGAGCGGGGGGCCACCAGGUUGCCUAAGGAGGGGUGAACCGGCCCAGGUCCGAGACGGAGUAGGUCAAAGCUCCCUUGCUGAUCAGCAGUGCGAUCGCGCCUGUGAAUAGCCACUGCACUCCAGCCUGGGCAACAUAGCGAGACCCCGUCUGUUAGGCAACCAU